rnacentral:SRP_RNA from 1 species
GCCUGUAAUCUCAGCUGCUGGAUAGGCUGAGGCUAGUGGAUCUCUUGAGCUCAGGAGUUCUGAGUUGUAGUGUGCUAGGCUAAUCAGGCAUCUGCACUAAAUUUGGCAUCGUUAUGAUGAGCCUCCAGGAGCAGGGAGGCCAUCAGGUUACUUAAAGAGGGAUGAACCACUCAGAUCAGAAAUAGGGUUCCUGUGCCAAUCAGGAGUAGGACUGACCAGUGAGUAGCCCCUGAACUUCUAGCCUGGGUAAGAUGGGGAGACUCAGGCUUA